rnacentral:siRNA from 1 species
UGGAAUAGCCGAUGGCUCUAUCUC